AUACGUAGGGGGCUAGCGUUAUCCGGAAUUACUGGGCGUAAAGGGUGCGUAGGUGGUUUCUUAAGUCAGAAGUGAAAGGCUACGGCUCAACCGUAGUAAGCUUUUGAAACUAAGAGACUUGAGUGCAGGAGAGGAGAGUAGAAUUCCUAGUGUAGCGGUGAAAUGCGUAGAUAUUGAGAAGAACACCAGUAGCGAAGGCGGCUUUCUGGACUGUAACUGACACUGAGGCACGAAAGCGUGGGUAGCAAACAGGAUUAGAUACCCUGGUAGUCCACGCCGUAAACGAUGAGUACUAGCUGUCGGGGGUUACCCCCCUCGGUGGCGCAGCUAACGCAUUAAGUACUCCGCCUGGGAAGUACGCUCGCAAGAGUGAAACUCAAAGGAAUUGGCGGGG
rnacentral:rRNA from 1 species